rnacentral:lncRNA from 1 species
UAGAAGCCUGUGGGGCCGAGAUGCCCGGACCUGCCCGGCCCGAACUAGGCAAAGUCCAGCGAAUACGUGGAGCCUGGCGACUGCUUUGGGAAGUCCUGCUGGCAGGCACUCUGCCCCUGGGGGUGUGCAAAGAGUUGUCCAGUUACCUUGAUCUUCUCACAGCCUCCUCCCCAGGGCACCAGGAGAGACCAGGAUUGGAGGACGGUAAAGAACACACUUCCCAGAGGAUUCUUGGAGCAAAAUAUUACACAAGGUCCAGGGCAAGGCAGGAUGGCCACCUCGCUCACUCAUCACAGCUGUCCUCUGACCUGAGCAGGGCCGUUCUGUCUCAGACCUGGAGACCCCGCACUCAGGGCGUUCAGGUCCAACAUUAUUUUUGUGCAGAUUUCAAUUCAUGCUGCACUCAUCCUGGGGGCAAAAGUUAAAGGUUUUCUAAAAAGCUACUUAGUGAAUGUCUUAGUUAAUGGAAAAGAAAAUAAGUCAAUCCUUUUUUUUCUAACCUUGAAGUUGCAAAGAUUGACAAUGAACUCUGUAAUGGUGCAUUCUCCUCUUGUGUGGUUUUUGAAAGCUGAGUUAUCCUUCCUGUAAUGAUUCUGCACCUGCAAACUAUAGGUGGCUUCCUCCAGGCAGUAAAUCUACAGCCCAGGCUCCCUGCAUCUUAUGGCUCCAAUCACUUUGGAUCUCAUCGUCGCCUGCACAUUGCCAUACACAGGGAAGGAGAAGAGAUGGAGAAGGCAAAGACUUUCUGAAAGCCGUGGCUAAAAGCUGGCAUGUGUCACAUCAGCUCACAUUCCAUUGUAGAGACGGGGUUUCACCGUGUUAGCCAGGAUGGUCUUGAUAUCCUGACCUCGUGAUCCGCCCGCCUUGGCUUCCCAAAGUGCUGGGAUUACAGGCGUGAGCCACCGCUCCCGGCCUGGCAGGCAUUCUUGAGGCAAACGGGAAAUGGGGUAAGUUACACAAUCGAUACAGCUCCGUCAUCGUGGUUUAAUUACUUUUCCACGUACCAUGUUUCCUGACAGGUAGAACGAUCAGCCUGGGCCUCCGUUUUUCAUUCUACAAAGAAUGAAGUGCAUGAACUGUCCUCUAUAGAAUUGUGGAAAAAGUUGUUUUUAUUGAGUUGUGGUUAUCUUUGUCUUCAUGGUCUAAUUACGGAAAUAAAUGCUUUUCCGAGUCUCCGGGGAUGGUCUGCCCUAGUCCAGCUCUCUGCAGUGUCUUUCUGGGUUUUUCCUCAGUGAACGGGAGGAACAUUGGCAGCACUUGUGGUCUGCACCAAGAACUGAAUCGAAUUUCCAUGUGUUAUUGAAUGUUCACAAAGACCUUGUACAGCGAGUGUUACUACCUCUGGUCAAUGAUUCAACUCAAGGCUCAGAAAAGUCAAGUGUCUUGUCCAGGGACACUUAGUCAGAAGUGAAUCCAAGGUUUAAGCUCAAGUCUGCCUAACUCUGAAUUUCACAGCCUUUUGCUACAUAUGGCGAAUAAUAUAUCCCUGAGCACUAAAGGCAGACUCCAAGGAUCUUGUCUCUGCAAUCAUCAUUCUGGCCAUAAUUUAUGAAAAGCAACCCAAAGUAUGUGAUGUAAUAAAAAGUACUAUCUAUGAGUUUACCCUUCCAAAAAUUGAACUGAAUUCUGAGCUCUAAAUUUGGAAUCAAAAGAACUUUUCUCUGCACUAAUCAUUUGGAACAUCACUUAAAGAAAACAACGAAAAACUGGUGUCCCCUGAGAGAAAGCAAUACAAAACAUUAUGCAUAAAGAAAUCCUUCCAAAAAAUAAACCAAAUCCAGUCAAAUCUCUAGUUUUGACUCCUAGCUUACCGGAAAUACGUGAUGGGAAAAAAAUGAAAUGACACCACUAUGAUUCAAUCAGCCAAAUCCAGCAUAUGCAAAUUUCUACCAGAUAAAUGGUUUAGUUUCUUCCCCAAACAAAUGGCACAAGGAAACGGAGGUAAGAAUGGGAUGCUGUUAUAGAUUUUAAAAGAUUUAAGAAAGUAUAAACUAAAUACACUAUGUGCAUCCUCUCUGAACGUGCUUCAAACAUAUCAAGGGGUCAAUGAGCAGUUUUGAAACAAUAAGGGAAUUUGAACACUGAAUGGUUGUCAGAAGAUAGUAAGAGAUCAUUAUUAAUUUUACUAGACAUAAUGAUGUUCUGAUUUUGUUUUUUUUUUAAAAAAAAAACAGUGUUAUUUCCUUUAUAGAUACAUCAUAUAGUAUUAACUAAUGAAAUGCUUUGAUAUCUGGAACGUUUAAAAAAUAUUCCCGAUGGAGUAAGUGCAAAGAAACAGGUAAGCAAAAUGCUGAUAAUUGCUGAAACACAGGAUGUGUACCUGGGGCUUCAUUUACUAUCUCUUCAUUUUCUAUUUUGAUAUUUGUUGGACAUUCUCAUAAAAAGGAAAGUUAUGUUUUAUUUUCUCAUAAGCUAGUAAUGAAAUAGCCCUACGUAACUGAUAUUGUAGAGACAAGAAUAGGUGUAAUAGAGCUUAAGGUUUUCAUUUAAAAAACUAUCUGUAGACUUCAAUGGAUCUUAGGUGGCAUCCAUGCAAUAACACUCGUGGAACAUGCAGGACAGGUGUGGAGCUCCAUCUUCACACAGUGACAUUUUUUAUGCUUCUGUUUUCCCUAAGAGUGGAGUGAGAGGAUGAUUAUUUUAUAUCAUGGACUUCUUCCCUGCUAUACUUUUUUUAAUUAUUUUACUUUCACUUCUGGGAUACAUGUGCUGAGCAUGCAGGCUUGUUUACAUAGGUAUACAUCUGCCAUGGUGGUUUGCUGCACCUAUCAACCCAUCAUACAGGUUUUAAGCCCUGCAUGCAUUAGGUAUUCGCCCUAAUGCUCUCCCUCGCCUUUCCCCCCACCCCCUGAUAGCCCCCAGUGAGUCAUAUUCCCCUCCCUGUGUCCAUGUGUUCUCAUUGUUCAACUCCCAUUUAUGAGUGAGAAUAUGUGGUGUUUAGUUUUCUGUUCCUGUGUUAGUUUGCUGAGAAUGAUGUUUUCCAGCUUCAUCCAUGUCCCUGAAAAGGACAUGAGCUCAUUCUUUUUUAUGGCUGCAUAGUAUUCCACGGUGUUAUAUGUGCCACAUUUUCUUAAUCCAGUCUGUCAUUGAUGGACAUUUGGGUUGUUUCCAAGUCUUUGCUAUUGUAAAUAGUGCUGCAAUAAACAUAUGUGUGCAUGUGUCUUUGUAGUAGAAUGAUUUAUAAUCCUUUGGGUAUAUGCCCAGUAAUGGGACUGAUGGGUCAAAUGGUAUUUCUGGUUCUAGAUCCUUGAGGAAUUGCCACACUGUCUUCCACAAUGGUUGAACUAAUUUAUACUCCCACCAACAGGGUAAAAGCAUUCCUAUUUCUCCACAUCCUCUCCAGCAUCUGUUGUUUCCAAAUGUUUUAAUGAUUGCCAUUCCACCUGGCGUGAGAUGGUAUCUCAUUGUGGUUUUGAUUUUCAUUUCUCUAAUGACCAGUGAUGAUAAGCUUUUUUUCAUAUGUUUGUUGGCCACAUAAAUGUCUUCUUUUGACUUUUAUGUGGAAACAAAUUUAACUGCACAGAGAGGUGAAAAUUAAUUAAUAACUUUUAAAGUAAUUCCCUAAGUUUCUAAGGAUCUAUAUGUUUCCAUCUGACUUUAUUUUAUUUAAGCUCUUGAUUGAUGCUGCAUUUGGAGCAGGUUCAUGAACAUGAAUAGAGUUAAUCUGGGACAGAUUUCCCUCAUUUGAUUUUUUCACUGUUUCCAUCACAGAACUUAUUUCAUGCUCACCAUGUUUGCAGGCAUUGAGCUUGGUACUGGAGCCACAGAGCUGGAUCAGACAGACUUGUGCAAAUAUUUCAGGUUUUUUUUGUGGGGGGGUCAUAUUUAUAGAUAAAUAACAGUAAAGAGUGACGGGUUCUUAUGAAAAUGCAUACACAGUGAAGUAGAGGGUGAAAAGGAGGGAUGUGUUCUAUGAGGAGGAAGAGUGAUAAGAAAGUGUAAGGGGAUGUGUCUGUGUCUAGACAUAUGUGUGUUCACGUGUGUGCGUGCUUGUGUGUACUGCAUGUGUAUAUGUGUGGCCAUGCACCUGUGUGCAUGUUCAUGUGUGUGUGUGUAUGUGUCUGUGUUGAGGACUAAAUUAAUUGGGCUUAUGGAAGCAGGGAGCCACUGAUAGGUUUAAUUAGAGACUGACAUGAUAUGAUAGUUUAGGUGGAUUUCUCUGGGGGCUGUGUUGAGGGACAGUGGGGAGGAGAGCUAGAAGGAAGAAAAGGACACAUGCAUAACAGAAGCAAUAUCUGUCUAUGGGAUGGUGGAAAGAAUCAGAAAAGACUUAAUAAAACAUGUGACACUUUAACUGAAUCUUGAAAUAGACAAGUGUUGGAGGAGGGAGUUGGACCAGAUACUUCAUGCAAAGGGAAGAAAAGUGCACAAACAAAAUAUGAGAAACAAGGCAGACAGGCAUUUUUUUAAAAUUUUCGCACCCACUGAUAGACCAGUGAUGCAUUCACAUCGUCUGCAUUCAUGAUCAACAAAAGUGCUUUCCUAGAACAUGAACCUCAACCCAAGUGUCGCCUCAAGUAGUGUAUGCAUGAACUCAAGCAUUAAAUUAGAAUUGAUUUUUUAAAAAACUCACACAAACAGAUGUAUUAUUUAAAAAUCUUUAAAGCAGGUUUAAACAGUUUUCAGGAUUAAAAGCAGCCACUAUUAGAAAGAACAAAAAUACAUUUGACAUAAAUAUAAGGAGCCUCAAUAGAACCUCCUGUACCCAGUCAUUGUCAAUGCCACAUCCAUUCAUUCACCAGCCCUUAUAUCAAUGCUUGCUGGGCUCACUUACCACGAUCAGCACGUGCAUGUCCUUAUCUGAAAGCUUGCCACUCAAAUGUGCUCAGUCUUACCUGUGUGGCUGGGAGUGUUGGGGAUUUAAUGUCAAGGGAAAGAAUCUUCCAUCAAUGAAUGAUGAAAGUUAGUUUUCACAACUUCCGGUCCCCUUGGCCCUCAUCAAAGGGCUCCAGGUGAGGUUUGGGCUCCUUGCUAUCCUCCGAGUUUCCACGGUAGUUUUAAGCACCAUUGCCCGUGGUAAUGGCUGACAUUGAUACUGCACUUUUUUUUUAUUUAAGAUGGAGUUCCCCUCUGCCACCCAGACUGGAGUACAGUGGCGCGAUCCUGGCCAUCGCAACCUCCGCCUCCCAGGUUCAAGCGAUUCUCCUGCCUCAGUCUCUCAAGUAGCUGGGAUAUGGGCACCUGUCACCAUGCCCAGCUAAUUUUUUUAAAAUUUAUUUUUAGUAGAGAUGGGGUUUCACCAUGUUGGCCAGGCUGGUCUCGAACUCCUGACCUCAGGUGAUCCACCCACACUUUUUAUUGUUUGCCUACACUUUCUAGACUUGCUUCAUCAGCCUACUCCGUUUCUGGUUGAUAUGGUUUGGUUGUGUCCCCACUCAAAUCUUAUCUAGAAGUGUAAUCCCCAAGUCUCAAGGGAGGGACCUGGUGUGAGGUGAUUGGAUUGGGGGGUGGUUCCCGCCAUGCUGUUCUCAUGAUAGUGAGUGAGUUCUCAUGAGAUCUGAUGGUUUUAUAAGGCAGUUUUCCCUAUUCUUGCUCACUCUUCUCUCUCUUUCUGCCAUGUGAAGAAGGUCCUUGCUUCCCCUUCACCUUCUACCAUGAUUGUAAGUUUCCUGAGGCCUCCCCUCAGCCAUGCACAACUGUGAGUCAAUUAAACCUCUUUCCUUUAUAAAUUACUCAGUCUCAGGUCGUAUCUUUAUAGCAGUAUGAGAAUGGACUAAUACACUGGUCUAUCCUUCAUCCAAAUUAACUACCUGCACUGCAGUCCUUGUCUCAGGCUCUGCUUUGAGGGACCCCAACUGUGACAGCCGCAUUAGAAUGCAUCACAUACUGCAGUGAAAUUCUAGAGUGGGUGUUGUCAGGUGGUGAUGAUUGUUAGAUAUGUCAGUCUGUUUUCAGGCUGCUGAUAAAGACAUACCUGAGACUGGGUAAUUUAUAAAGGAAAAGGAGGUUUAAUGGACUCACAGUUCCACAUGGCUAGGGAGGCCUCACAAUCAUGGCAGAAGGUGAAAGGCACGGCUUACAGGGUGGCAGCAAGAGAGGAAAUGAGAACCAAGUGAAAAGGUUUCUGCUUAUAAAACCAUCAGCUCUUGUGAGACUUAUUCAUUACAAUGAGAACAAUAUGGGGGAAACUGCCCCCAUGAUUCAAUUAUCUCCCACCAGAUCCCUCCUACAACACAUGAGAAUUGUGGGUGCUACAAUUCAAGAUGAGAUUUGAGUGGGGACAAAGUCAAACCAUAUCAUUAGAUAGGACACUGGAGAAAGGCAAGAAAGAAAAGACAUCUGAAGAAUGAAGGGAGCCAAAGAAAUGCCAACAUUUUGCUUUUUGAAGAAAAGCUAAAUUAAAGUCAAAAUGGAUUUAUCAAUUUCCUUGGGUUCGUGAAUGUACAGAACUUUAUUAAGACUGUCAUGCUGUCAUCAUGGCUGGAUCUGAUACGGCCACCGUGGACCUUGAGGUGACCUCGGGAAUGGAGACAGUGCAUGGGAGAGAAUCACAUUGGAAGGGGCCUGGGUUUCUGAAGACCCUGUAAGACAGAUCUCCUUGCAGCCCUGACUGCCCACAUUAGGGCUUUUAUGUUAGGGUGAAGUUACCUUGCAUUGUCAUAUAAGCAAUUGCUAUUUGUGGUGUCUUGCAAAUAAACCUAUUCUGAUCUAGUAUGUUUCCUA